UCUGGGAUAAGCCUGGGAAACUGGGUCUAAUACCGGAUAUGACUCCUCAUCGCAUGGUGGGGGGUGGAAAGCUUUAUUGUGGUUUUGGAUGGACUCGCGGCCUAUCAGCUUGUUGGUGAGGUAAUGGCUCACCAAGGCGACGACGGGUAGCCGGCCUGAGAGGGUGACCGGCCACACUGGGACUGAGACACGGCCCAGACUCCUACGGGAGGCAGCAGUGGGGAAUAUUGCACAAUGGGCGAAAGCCUGAUGCAGCGACGCCGCGUGAGGGAUGACGGCCUUCGGGUUGUAAACCUCUUUCAGUAGGGAAGAAGCGAAAGUGACGGUACCUGCAGAAGAAGCGCCGGCUAACUACGUGCCAGCAGCCGCGGUAAUACGUAGGGCGCAAGCGUUAUCCGGAAUUAUUGGGCGUAAAGAGCUCGUAGGCGGUUUGUCGCGUCUGCCGUGAAAGUCCGGGGCUCAACUCCGGAUCUGCGGUGGGUACGGGCAGACUAGAGUGAUGUAGGGGAGACUGGAAUUCCUGGUGUAGCGGUGAAAUGCGCAGAUAUCAGGAGGAACACCGAUGGCGAAGGCAGGUCUCUGGGCAUUAACUGACGCUGAGGAGCGAAAGCAUGGGGAGCGAACAGGAUUAGAUACCCUGGUAGUCCAUGCCGUAAACGUUGGGCACUAGGUGUGGGGGACAUUCCACGUUUUCCGCGCCGUAGCUAACGCAUUAAGUGCCCCGCCUGGGGAGUACGGCCGCAAGGCUAAAACUCAAAGGAAUUGACGGGGGCCCGCACAAGCGGCGGAGCAUGCGGAUUAAUUCGAUGCAACGCGAAGAACCUUACCAAGGCUUGACAUGAACCGGAAAUACCUGGAAACAGGUGCCCCGCUUGCGGUCGGUUUACAGGUGGUGCAUGGUUGUCGUCAGCUCGUGUCGUGAGAUGUUGGGUUAAGUCCCGCAACGAGCGCAACCCUCGUUCUAUGUUGCCAGCGCGUUAUGGCGGGGACUCAUAGGAGACUGCCGGGGUCAACUCGGAGGAAGGUGGGGACGACGUCAAAUCAUCAUGCCCCUUAUGUCUUGGGCUUCACGCAUGCUACAAUGGCCGGUACAAAGGGUUGCGAUACUGUGAGGUGGAGCUAAUCCCAAAAAGCCGGUCUCAGUUCGGAUUGGGGUCUGCAACUCGACCCCAUGAAGUCGGAGUCGCUAGUAAUCGCAGAUCAGCAACGCUGCGGUGAAUACGUUCCCGGGCC
rnacentral:rRNA from 1 species